rnacentral:rRNA from 1 species
UACGAAGGGGGCUAGCGUUGUUCGGAAUCACUGGGCGUAAAGGGCGCGUAGGCGGCUUUGUAAGUCGGGGGUGAAAGCCUGUGGCUCAACCACAGAAUUGCCUUCGAUACUGCAUGGCUUGAGACCGGAAGAGGUAAGUGGAACGUGCGAGUGUAGAGGUGAAAUUCGUAGAUAUUCGCAAGAACACCAGUGGCGAAGGCGGCUUACUGGUCCGGUUCUGGACGCUGAGGCGGCGAAAGCGUGG